AGUGUGAUUCAAACGGCACAGACAAUUGACAACAAUAUUGAGUGUAUAGAUAUCAGAUUUGAGUCGUAAGGAGAACAAGUAUUUGAUUAACGAAAUGGCAGCUGUGUAAUGCUUCAUCUUAACAAUAGAGCUAAACAAAAAGUUAAAGUCAUUCACACAUGGCAAAGGGUUCAUGGAAAGCAUUUUGUCAAACAGAUGCAGAGCAGAAUCAAGGUUCUGGAGAUUCCUAAUAGAAUUUACGAGAUGGGGUCUGUCCUUGAUGGCAUCAAGAAAGGGUUUGGGAUGAGAAAGGGUACCAAAUUGAGAUUGCUGCAGAAAGAA